GACGAACGCUGGCGGCGUGCUUAACACAUGCAAGUCGAACGGAGUGGCGAACGGGUGAGUAACACGUGGGUGACCUGCCCUGCACUUCGGGAUAAGCAUGGGAAACUGGGUCUAAUACCGGAUAGUGUGGGAUGGUCCCGCGGCCUAUCAGAUUGUUGGUGGGGUAAUGGCCUACCAAGGCGGCGACGGGUAGCCGGCCUGGGAGGGUGGACGGCAACAUGGGGACUGAGACACGGCCCAGGCUGCUACGGGAGGCAGCAGUGGGGAAUAUUGCGCAAUGGGCGGAAGCCUGAUGCAGCGACGCCGCGUGGGGGAUGACGGCCUUCGGAUUGUAAACUCCUGUCACCAUCGACGCGGUAGAUGGAGAAGAAGCAUCGGCUAACUACGUUCCAGGAGCCGCGGUAAUAC
rnacentral:rRNA from 1 species